rnacentral:rRNA from 1 species
AGUGAACGCUGGCGGUAGGCCUAACACAUGCAAGUCGAACGGCAGCACAGUAAGAGCUUGCUCUUACGGGUGGCGAGUGGCGGACGGGUGAGGAAUACAUCGGAAUCUGCUUUUUCGUGGGGGAUAACGUAGGGAAACUUACGCUAAUACCGCAUACGACCUACGGGUGAAAGCAGGGGAUCUUCGGACCUUGCGCGAUUGAAUGAGCCGAUGUCGGAUUAGCUAGUUGGCGGGGUAAAGGCCCACCAAGGCGACGAUCCGUAGCUGGUCUGAGAGGAUGAUCAGCCACACUGGAACUGAGACACGGUCCAGACUCCUACGGGAGGCAGCAGUGGGGAAUAUUGGACAAUGGGCGCAAGCCUGAUCCAGCCAUACCGCGUGGGUGAAGAAGGCCUUCGGGUUGUAAAGCCCUUUUGUUGGGAAAGAAAAGCAGCAGGUUAAUACCCCGCUGUUCCGACGGUACCCAAAGAAUAAGCACCGGCUAACUUCGUG